CGCCUAACACAUGCAAGUCGAACGGUUAAGGCGCCCUUCGGGGCGCGAAUAGAGUGGCGAACGGCUGAGUAACACGUGGGCAACCUGCCCCCCGCACCGGGACAGCCUCGGGAAACCGUGGGUAAUACCGGGUACUCCGCCACCCCCGCAUGGGGGAGGCGGGAGAGCGUAUGCGGCGGGGGAUGGGCCCGCGGCCUGUUAGCUAGUUGGCGGGGCAACGGCCCACCAAGGCGAUUAUGGGUAGCUGGGUUGAGAGACCGACCAGCCAGAUUGGGACUGAGACACGGCCCAGACUCC
rnacentral:rRNA from 1 species